GCGGUAACAUAGCUUGCUCAGCCGAUUACAACCCCGUUUGUGGCACUGAUGGGAAGACGUACUCCAACGGCUGCCACUUAAGUAUCGCGCAGAGAUGUGAAGAUUCAAGUCUAAGGGAGUAUUGCAAGGGAAGAUGUGGGGAAUGUGGAUAUGCUUGAGUCUUCAUUAACAUUGGGAAAAACAGUUUCAUAGAUAUACUUUCAUUACCUGUAGGAGAAAUUGUUUAAAAAUACACCAGGUCAACUGCAUCAUUGAUGUACUCUUUCAAGAAUUUCAUUCUGAACUUGCAUCAGAUUUCUACCUUAAAAUAUCUGUACCUUUCAUUGAAUUUAUUUUCUUGUAGCAUUGUAUCAUCUAUGAAAUGAAAACAUAAUAAAGCCAAAUUUUAAAUCCA